rnacentral:rRNA from 1 species
GACGUAGGUGGCGAACGUUAUCCGGAAUUACUGGGCGUAAAGCGUGCGCAGGCGGUCCGCUAAGACAGAUGUGAAAUCCCCGGGCUUAACCUGGGAACUGCAUUUGUGACUGGCGGGCUAGAGUAUGGCAGAGGGGGGUAGAAUUCCACGUGUAGCAGUGAAAUGCGUAGAGAUGUGGAGGAAUACCGAUGGCGAAGGCAGCCCCCUGGGCCAAUACUGACGCUCAUGCACGAAAGCGUGGGGAGCAAACAGG